GAUGAACGCUGGCGGCGUGCCUAAUACAUGCAAGUCGAGCGAACGGACGAGAAGCUUGCUUCUCUGAUGUUAGCGGCGGACGGGUGAGUAACACGUGGAUAACCUACCUAUAAGACUGGGAUAACUUCGGGAAACCGGAGCUAAUACCGGAUGAUAUUUUGAACCGCAUGGUUCAAAAGUGAAAGACGGUCUUGCUGUCACUUAUAGAUGGAUCCGCGCUGCAUUAGCUAGUUGGUAAGGUAACGGCUUACCAAGGCAACGAUGCAUAGCCGACGUGAGAGGGUGAUCGGCCACACUGGAACUGAGACACGGUCCAGACUCCUACGGGAGGCAGCAGUAGGGAAUCUUCCGCAGUGGGCGAAAGCCUGACGGAGCAACGCCGCGUGAGUGAUGAAGGUCUUCGGAUCGUAAAACUCUGUUAUUAGGGAAGAACAUAUGUGUAAGUAACUGUGCACAUCUUGACGGUACCUAAUCAGAAAGCCACGGCUAACUACGUG
rnacentral:rRNA from 1 species